UGUUUCGGCUAGGGGGCCAUCCCGGCUUACCAACCCGAUGCAAACUGCGAAUACCGGAGAAUGUUAUCACGGGAGACACACGGCGGGUGCUAACGUCCGUCGUGAAGAGGGAAACAACCCAGACCGCCAGCUAAGGUCCCAAAGUCAUGGUUAAGUGGGAAACGAUGUGGGAAGGCCCAGACAGCCAGGAUGUUGGCUUAGAAGCAGCCAUCAUUUAAAGAAAGCGUAAUAGCUCACUGGUCGAGUCGGCCUGCGCGGAAGAUGUAACGGGGCUAAACCAUGCACCGAAGCUGCGGCAGCGAACGUAUCACUUAAAGCGAUUCAGCGGGUUACGAUUGACGGAGCGAAGCGACGUCAAAGCGUAUACAAAGUCGAGUCGGUUUAAGGAUACGUUCGUUGGGUAGGGGAGCGUUCUGUAAGCCUGCGAAGGUGGCCUGUGAGGGUUGCUGGAGGUAUCAGAAGUGCGAAUGCUGACAUAAGUAACGAUAAAGCGGGUGAAAAGCCCGCUCGCCGGAAGACCAAGGGUUCCUGUCCAACGUUAAUCGGGGCAGGGUGAGUCGACCCCUAAGGCGAGGCCGAAAGGCGUAGUCGAUGGGAAACGGGUUAAUAUUCCCGUACUUGGUGUUACUGCGAAGGGGGGACGGAGAAGGCUAUGUUGGCCGGGCGACGGUUGUCCCGGUUUAAGCGUGUAGGUGUGUGUUCCAGGUAAAUCCGGUUCACUUUAACACUGAGGCGUGACGACGAGGCACUACGGUGCUGAAGCAACAAAUGCCCUGCUUCCAGGAAAAGCCUCUAAGCAUCAGGUAACAUCAAAUCGUACCCCAAACCGACACAGGUGGUCAGGUAGAGAAUACCAAGGCGCUUGAGAGAACUCGGGUGAAGGAACUAGGCAAAAUGGUGCCGUAACUUCGGGAGAAGGCACGCUGACACGUAGGUGAAGUGAUUUACUCAUGGAGCUGAAGUCAGUCGAAGAUACCAGCUGGCUGCAACUGUUUAUUAAAAACACAGCACUGUGCAAACACGAAAGUGGACGUAUACGGUGUGACGCCUGCCCGGUGCCGGAAGGUUAAUUGAUGGGGUCAGCGCAAGCGAAGCUCCUGAUCGAAGCCCCGGUAAACGGCGGCCGUAACUAUAACGGUCCUAAGGUAGCGAAAUUCCUUGUCGGGUAAGUUCCGACCUGCACGAAUGGCGUAAUGAUGGCCAGGCUGUCUCCACCCGAGACUCAGUGAAAUUGAACUCGCUGUGAAGAUGCAGUGUACCCGCGGCAAGACGGAAAGACCCCGUGAACCUUUACUAUAGCUUGACACUGAACAUUGAGCCUUGAUGUGUAGGAUAGGUGGGAGGCUU
rnacentral:rRNA from 1 species